rnacentral:rRNA from 1 species
UACGAAGGGGGCUAGCGUUGUUCGGAAUUACUGGGCGUAAAGCGCGCGCAGGCGGUCUUCCAAGUCAGUGGUGAAAGCCCGGAGCUCAACUCCGGAAUUGCCAUUGAAACUGUAAGACUUGAGGAUGAGAGAGGUGAGUGGAAUUCCCAGUGUAGAGGUGAAAUUCGUAGAUAUUGGGAAGAACACCGGUGGCGAAGGCGGCUCACUGGCUCAUUUCUGACGCUCAGGCGCGACAGCGUGGGGAUCAAACAGG